rnacentral:misc_RNA from 1 species
UGGAACGCACAUUGCGCCCUAUGGUAUUCCAUAGGGCAUACCUGUUUGAGCGUUAGCUCCCCAUAUUCUCAAGCAUUAUUUUGUAAUGCCUGGAUUUGUUUGGAAAGGCACCUCUAUCAUGGAGGCACCCUUCAGAAAUGUAUAUGGCAGUAUAGUUUAUAUCUGAACCAGGCGUAAUAAUAAUAAAGUCGCUGAGUUUACCAUAUUUAUACUUGCCUGAACCCACCCAUUGUUAAAUCGGGUAACCUCAAAUCAGGUAGGGAUACCCGCUGAACUUAA